UACGUUCCCGGGUCUUGUACAUACCGCCCGUCACACCAUGGGAGCGGGUUUUACCAGAAGUAGGUAGCUUAACCGCAAGGGGGGCGCUUACCACGGUAGGAUUCGUGACUGGGGUG
rnacentral:rRNA from 1 species